AACGUGGCGAGGCCUCUUGCCUUCCCCUCAUCUCGCACCACCUCUCCCCUCCCCACGCCGUCAAUUUCUGGCCCACGGACGACCUUACGGGCUAAGCACCCUCGACCUCACUUUCUCGGUUCGUGCGAUGGGAAGAGAGCAGAUGAUGCCUUGUAGGAGAUGGGCACACAGAGCGGCGAUGGCAAUAACGACUGGGGAGCACCCUCGCGGAUGACCUUUGCUUAUUGGUGGAUUUAGUCACAGAAAUCGAAAGAGGAGUACCUCAUAUUUUGGCUAGCUCGAAUUUAGCAACUCCCCUCCUCCGAGAGUGCUAACUGGACUUUGUUUCGGAAUCUCAAAUGAGAUGGCAAAGGAUGAUUUCGACAAUUUUUCAUCCAUCAUCAUGCGGGUGGAGACCUUGCAAGAGCUCGUUUUCUGUUUUCUGAAACUAUGUUUCUCUGCUCUCCUACCUGGAUUUCAUGCUAAAGCGACUACCUCCAUUAAGAAAAGCAUUGGUAUUUGGAGGAAGAAACAAGAUUAACUAUAAAAUGGGUUGGUUAUAUGAUGUACUUCUUUUGUACCAUCAUGCUUCAUUCAUUGCGGGAUUUUAGUAAGAAUCUCGAUGUCUCUAUUUUCCUGCCUGCAGUUUGUAGGUGCAAAAUCUGUUUUCAAGUUUCAGAGUUUAUUCUGUGUGCUGUUUUCCUAAGUGCCAUUCCUUACUAUAGAUUGUUUUCCUAAAUAGUGGGGCUUCUCUCUGCUUAUCAGAUGUUGCAGAUGGAUUGAGUUUGUGGUAACUUAGUUUGUGUUUGAAACAGGUGGAAAGUUUUCGCCGGACUUUGCCUCCACAGCCUGAUACUAGAGUUUUACUAUUCUCUUCAAAGGUUUUUGGUCUCAAAACAUUUUCUUAGUUUGGCAAAUGUGAACAGACUGGAAGAGAUAUGAUGCAUAUUGGCUCAGUGAUUUGUGUGAUCUUCUGCAGCUUUAAAGUAUAAUCAUUCUCUCUUUAGGAAAGCAAUAAAGAGAUGAAUCAGUUAUUUUUGCCUAUAGGUAUUAUUAUUUGCAGUUAUGCUUGUGCGUGCACACAAGAGUUGUUUGACUUGUUUUAGGACCGAUAAUGAAUUCUUCAACUCUGAUUGUUUCUUCCCUGUGAUGUAUUCAAAUUGAUGCAUCAGACUAGAUACAUCAUUUUGGAGGGUUAUUAGUCUACCAUAGUGAGCUGAUCAUCGUGUGGAUGAUUAAGCAGCCUGUGAAGCUCUUGUUCACUAACAGUUUGGUGAUGUCAGUGAUCUUGGUUCAGUUUGUGGCACUAUUGGUAUUAUGUUGAAACAUGUGAAUUCUCAGCUUAUUAUAUUUCUUUGACCAUCUA